CCUACGGGAGGCAGCAGUGAGGAAUAUUGGUCAAUGGCCGGAAGGCUGAACCAGCCAUGCCGCGUGAAGGUCAGUGCCCUAUGGGCGUUAAACUUCUUUUGUGCGGGAGCAAUAUUGGUCACGUGUGGACAGUCGAGAGUACCGUACGAAUAAGCAUCAGCUAACUCCGUGCCAGAGGCCGCGGUAAUACGGGGGGUGCAAGCGUUAUCCGGACUUAUUGGGUGUAAAGGGUGCGUAGGUGGGUAUUUAAGUCAGUGGUGAAAGUUUGUGGCUCAACCAUAAAAUUGCCGUUGAAACUGGGAGACUUGAGUGUGUUUGAGGUAGGCGGAAUGCGUGGUGUAGCGGUGAAAUGCAUAGAUAUCACGCAGAACUCCGAUUGCGAAGGCAGCUUACUAAGCCAUAACUGACACUGAAGCACGAAAGCGUGGGGAGCAAACAGGAUUAGAUACCCGAGUAGUC
rnacentral:rRNA from 1 species